rnacentral:lncRNA from 10 species
GGGAAGUAAAAAUACUGCUUAUUAAAAACAACCACGAACCCAGCAUUGAGCUAGAAGCACAGCAGCUCCAUUUCACCCUCAGGGUGACUGUGCCCGUGGGCAUGCUCACGUAGCUACAGUUGCCCUGGAGCACUGCUGACUAGUGGGCCCAGGUGAACACGUCCUCGGGUCUAUCAUUUGCAGAAACCUGGGUUCUUUCUCUUUUGUUUUGUUUUGUUUUGUUUUGUUUCAUUUUGUUUUGUUUUGUUUUUGAGACGGAGUUUUGCUCUCGUCACCCAGGCUGGAGUCCAAUGGCACCAUCUUGGCUCACCGCAACCUCCGCCUCCCAGGUUCAAGCCAUUCUCCUGCCUCAGCCUCCCGAGUAGCUGGGAUUACAGGCAUCUAUCGAGCUGUGCCUAUUCGAGUCAAUCCAAGAGUGAGUAAUGUGAAGUCUGUCUACAAAACCCACAUUGAUGUCAUUCAUUAUCGGAAAACGGAUGCAAAACGUCUGCAUGGCCUUGAUGAAGAAGCAGAACAGAAACUUUUUUCAGAGAAACGUGUGGAAUUGCUUAAGGAACUUUCCAGGAAACCAGACAUUUAUGAGAGGCUUGCUUCAGCCUUGGCUCCAAGCAUUUAUGAACAUGAAGAUAUAAAGAAGGGAAUUUUGCUUCAGCUCUUUGGCGGGACAAGGAAGGAUUUUAGUCACACUGGAAGGGGCAAAUUUCGGGCUGAGAUCAACAUCUUGCUGUGUGGCGACCCUGGUACCAGCAAGUCCCAGCUGCUGCAGUACGUGUACAACCUCGUCCCCAGGGGCCAGUACACGUCUGGGAAGGGCUCCAGUGCAGUUGGCCUCACUGCGUACGUAAUGAAAGACCCUGAGACA